rnacentral:lncRNA from 1 species
CCUCGUACCAUGAAUUUUAAGAGCUUUGCAUGUCUUUGAAUAUCAUCCACAAGAAUUCACUAAAGAUUAUGCAAACUAAAUCAUCACAUGAUUUGAAUAGUGAGGGCAUUGAUUUUAGACGUAAUCUUUUCUUACAAUUCCGUUUGUACAAGCCCAAUUUGUGGGCCCAAAUAACCUCUAGACCCAAACCCAAUAGACCAUUUUCUAGCCCAAAACCUAUCUUCUAACCCACAAAGCCCAAACUUUUUUUACCCAAAACCCAAUUACAAAGGAAACCCUAGCCCAAUACAUUAAAGAAAAAUAAGGUAAAACCUAAAACCCUAGCCGUUCAGCCACUUGCUCCCUGUCCCAUCCACCACCGCCUCUGCUCCCACCGACAGGUCAAGUCCACCGCCACAAACACCUGCAAACAUUAAUAAAAAAGGAACAGAAAGUAGAAAAGAGAGGCAUGUAAUGGCUAUAAAAAGCCAAGCAAAAACCAUUGUUUUUUUCGGCAAAUCUUGAUAUAUACAAACAAAGCAUUCAAUCUUUUUAAGCAAAGAAAACAACAAUAUUAGCCACCAAAAAAUAAGAGAAACGGCAUCAAAAUAAACCCAAAGCCCUCAGAAACAGAAGCCAUAGGCCUAAGGUGAUUCGCUUUAUUUUUCUUUUUUUCGUUGUUAUUUCAUAACCGAAUCUACCUAUUAUAUACCCUUAUAUGUAUAAAUAACUUUAAAACAAAACAAGGAAAAUUUUUACCUCCGAACGCCGUACACGGCGGUCGCCGGCGCCGGAGACGUGACGGAGGACGGUGGUAGCUCGCCCGAUUGCUGACCGAGCUUGGACCUGCAGAGAAAACAAAAAAAGGGCUUAGUUUUUUUAGAAACAAAUGGCAAAAAAUGAUUUCAAAGGCUAAAUUUUAACUUAUAUAGAUGUUACACAACGACGUCGUUUUGCUCGGCACCCAUAAGCCCUAAAACGACGCCGUUUCGCUCUACCCGACCCGAAACUCGACCGCUCCACAGAAGGAUCCGCGUGUUUUUGCUAUUUGGGACACUUGCGUAUGCAGUCCUUCCACAAUUUUUGUUGAUUUUAAUCAGGUCUUUUCAUGUCUUUAAAUAUAGCCUUGUAAUUUCAAUUUUGCUUCAAUCUAGUCCUCUGCCCGUUUGAAGGAGGGAUAUUUGAACGGCGUCGUUUAGAAAGGUUGGAUUAUUUGCUCCUUUAAGCUCUCCUGUUUGCUCGCGUGUUCAAAUCAGUCCCCCUUUCUUUUAUUUCUUUUAAAUUCGCCUCAAAAACUCUAUUUUCAAUCCAAAUUCGUCCAUUUUUUUAUUUCUAUUUUAACUUUAAUAUUAUUCAUAAUAUUAUAUUAUAUUAUUAUUAUGCUUGUAUUUUUUACUUAUUAGCAUCCUAUCAUUAUCAUUUUUACUUAAUACUUAUGUGUGUAUAUAUAUAUGUUAUAUAGUAUUAUUAAUAAUUUAAUAUUAUUAUUUUAUUAAUGUAUUUUUAUAUCAUAUAUGUAUUCUUUUAAUGUAUAUACAUUAUACUCCAUAUUACGCAUAUAUGUAUUAGUAUUAUUACGAAUAUUUAUUUUUUAAACAUUAUGUAUAUAUAUAUUUUUAUGUACAUUAUGUAUAUAUUUUAAUAUAUUAUGCGUAUAUUUUGUUUUGUAUAUUACGUUUAUAUUAUGUAUAUGCUUUUAAUAUUAUUAUAUACUUAUUUUUAUUUUUAUUUUUUAAUAUAUAUUAUAUGAUAUUAUUAAUUGUUUUUUCUUUUCUCUUUUGCAUCAUUAUCAUUUCUAAUAUACAUGUGUGUCGUAUAUUCCUUUACAUAUAUUAUGUAUAUAUCGUUAGUAUUAUUAGUUAUAUGUAUUUAUCCCAUUUCAUGUACACAUUAUGUAUACACAUUCAAUAUUAUCAUAUAUUUAAUUUUAAUAUAUAUUUAUAUAAUGUUUCUUUAUUAUUAUCAUUAUCUCUCUAUUGUUACUAUUAUUAUUACACCUUCCAUUAUCAUCACUAUUGUAUUAUUACUUUUAUAACAUUUUUUAUAUAUAAUUAUCUAUACGCCAUUGCUUUUAUACUAACUAAUAAUAUAUAUAUACACAUUUUUGCGUACUUAUUUUGCUUAUAUAUAUCAUUACUCACAUUAUUAUCGUUUCAUCAUCUAUUUAUUUAUAUAUUUGUAAAUUCUUUCAAACCUUAAAUUAUUCAUUAUUUGUAUCAUCAUUAUUAUUAUUACUAACAUAUAUAUACUAUGUAAUUUUUAUUAUAUUACGUAUACAUUGGUAUAUACAUACCAUGCAUAUGUGUCUUUUAAUAUCGUACUAUUAUUAUUAUGUAUAUAUAUAUUCCUAUAUUCUUAUCACUUCUAUUAUUACGUAAGUACUUUAAUACAUAUAUAUUAUUAUUAUCGUUUUGUUAUCAUUGCCAUUUUAUUUUGUCAUUUUUAUAUUUAUUUAUUUAUUUAUUAAUUUACUUGCGUAUUCGAUCAUUUCAUUUUCCUCAUGCGCUUGUUUACUAGCCCUGUUGUUAUUUCACCUUUCAUAAUUGCUCGUAUUGUUAUGUUUGACACUGUCACGCUUAUUAUUACGUAUUAGCAUCAUAAUUUGCUUUUAUAUUUUACAUCAUGUUUUUUUUAUUCGACACCUUAAAAUAAUCCUUUCAUAAAAGUGAUAUUCUGUAUUUAGCAAUUCGAGACAAUCGUGCCCUAACUUAUUGGGUUUCGAUUUUUCUCAUAUAACCUAAGUCACGGAAUAUUCUUUUAAAUCACUAUACGAAUUUUAAAAAUGCUUAUUUUCGGGGAUACGAGGUGUGGUACCCUAACUUACCAGGUAGGACAUUUUGUUACCUCGAAAUAAGAUUUUUUUUUUGCAAAUAAAGGUAAUAUUCGGUGUUCGAAAAUUCGAGGAAACGCGCCUUAACUUACUGGGUUUCGAUUGUCUUCGUUCACUCUAACUAACCGAAUGUCCUUUUAAAAGUUAAAAUUCAUUAAUUUUAAAUAAAAGGCAAGCUCAGUCUCAAAGUUCGAGAUGUUGUGUCCUAACUUACUGGGCAUGAUAUUUUAUUACUUCGAGAUAAGAGAGUCAUUAACAUCCGAUUUAAUUUAUUCAAUCAUUUUUAAAUUAGCAUUAAUACAAAAAAGGAUCGUAUUUUAAAUUCUUUUAAGUUUUCAAACUUUUGACACUAAGACACUAAUUAAUCAACUAAGUACCAAUUUUGGGCGUAUCGAGUGUGCUAAUCCUUCCUCGUGCGUAACCGACUCCCGAAUUCAUUUUUUUUAUUUUUGUAGACCAAAAAUUAUUGUUUUAGUAAAUCUUAAUUUUUAUUAAAAUGAUUAAUUUAAGGUGAUCCAAUCACACCUCAUCAAAAAAGAUUGGUGGCGACUCCCGUUUUUUCAUUUUCAAAUCCAAGUCGAUUCCCGUCGUUUUCAAAAAAUGGUUACAACAGCUUGGUGACUCCACUGGGGACACCAUAAGAGAGUCAAGCCACAAGUUGAUUAACUUUUGUCUUUUUAUCGAAAAUUGAAAAUUUGGUUUUGAUAUACAAUCCUUUCAUUGCAUUUCAUUAGCUAUUUUUUGUGGUAUAUGAUACAAUACCUGCUGCAUUGGUUCAAGUCUUUAAAUAGUUUUGCAUAUUGUAUUGCUUGAUCGCUGUGGUCACACCUUUUUAAGUGGGAAUGAGAAACUACUAUUUCGUGAGGUUUUCACCUCCGUGUGGGAUAGUGGAUCGCUUUCGGGAUACAUCCGUACCUAUGUCUUCGUGAGAUUUUCAUCUCCAUGCAGUCAUAGGGAAAUGUAUUCCCCUGAACUGAACUCGGUCUGUAUGAGCCUAUAAUGGGUGAAGAUCGAGGAAUCUGCUGGUUCAGGUACCCUUACUCUAGAACCAAACCCCAUGUAGGGAGCCUUAAGAACCCACCUUAGGUAGAGCCACUCCGAAACCCUAGUGGUUACCUGAGCAAGUGCUAUAUUUAUUAUUCUUUGUUUGCUUUGAACUGCGUAUGAAAUACUGACUUGCUUUGUUUUACUUUGAUUGUAUUUGCAUGGCAUUUUCAUCACAAAAGGUGUUGAUUCACAUUCGGUUCCUAAAUAGAUAGCUUAUAAUGGAAAAUGGGUUUUUUGAUAAAGUAGAAGACAACGCGGCUGUCCGGAUAUGGGCUGAGAUAACACAACAAGAGAAAGGUGACAGUCUUACCGAGGGAUACGUGUCAGAGUUGUGGAAUUUUACUCAGAUCAGCGUAACUCAGAAUAAUCUCCAAGAGAUGAAAGAAAUUUGGGGUCAGUGGGAUGACGAGAUCAAACAGCUAUUCUAUUGUCAUUACGAUGAUUUACCUUAUCUACUCGAUGUCAAGGAAGAUGAACACCUGUUUCAGGUUGACAGAAUUUAUUCCAGACCUGCCAACGUCCUAGCAUUUGCAAAAAAACUAAUGAACAUCACAAGGAUGAGCGAACAGUGGGUUACAACCCGGAUCAAACAAAAAGGAGAUUGUAAAUGCAUUCCUUGGAAGAACCUGAGGGAUCUAAUCUUAGCGCACCCCGAUGUGAAGAAAAGAGUAGAUGUCUUCGCCCAGAGCAUUUAUGGACUGGUUAUCUUCCCCAAAGCCUUGGGGCAUGUAGAUGAGGUAGUUUUCGAUCUUUUUGAUAGGCUUAGUAAAUGGACCACACCCGUACCCGCAAUCUUAGCUGAAACUUUCAAAUCACUAAAUGCUUAUCGAAAAGCGGGUGAAGGGAGAUUUAUCGGAUGUGCACAGCUCUUGCUAUCUUGGUUCCACAGCCAUUUUUGAAAAGUGGAAAAGGUCUCGUAUUGUAUCUUCUCUGAAAAUUACUCUCCACUGAAAGAGUUAGUGGCUACACCGAGGCGAGAUGAUGUUAUAGAAGAAAAUUGGAUGACGGUUCUCCAAAAUUUGCAAGAAGAAGACGUUGAAUGGAGAGCCCCGUGGAUGGUUCCUGAUGAAAUAUUAUACCGAUGCGGAGAUUUCGAUUGGGUUUCCUUGUUAGGAGUAUGGGGAGCUGUAGGAUAUGCUCUUCUGCUUGCAUUAAGACAGUACAGAUCUAGACAGUUUACACCACCAACAUACGGGUUAGCCCAGUGCGAGUUCGUGUUCACAGGGAAUAAUUACAAAAAGAAAGUUCGCGAAAUAUCAAAUGCCUGGAACCAGACUCGUAAAAUGAAAAAGUUUGCUGCCAAUCCCAUGACUACUCUUGAGUAUGACCGAUGGUGGAAUCAGAGGAUUAACGACAACAUUCCUACAUCAGAUCAAGGGAAUCCUCAGUCAAUAGAAGAACACUUGAAAGUAAUCCCAUCUGAGCUAGAAAUCAUCAGGCAAGAUUUCGAGAGAAAGAGUCUGGAGCUAGAAAAAAGGAUCGAGCAGUUGGAAGAAGAAAAGAUGCAGCUAGGGUUAGAUGUCGAUGUCCAGAAACCAGAAGCUGAAAGACUCAAAAAAGGGAAAAAUAAGGCUGAAGAGGACUUGGACAGUUUGAAAACGGACUAUAAGAAGCUGCGUAGAUCAAUGAGAACCGCUGGGUUAGGAAAAACAUCGGAACAGUGGCGACAGGAAGUUAAAGAAGAACAAAGCAAAGCCAACCAAUAGGAAGAAAAAUUCCGGGAUGCUCAAGUUUAAGAAGGUGCUCUGAAAAGAAGUUUGGUAGAAAGCCAGAAUGAGAAGGAAAGGUUAAAGAUUCGGGUAUUAGAGUUAGAGAGGUCUUUGCAUCAGUGUCACUCGUGUAACUCCGUAGUCGAGUUGAAAGCUAGUUAGAACAGAAUCGAAGAAUUCAAAGAGAAUAUAGAAGAACUCAAAACAGCGCUGCAAAAUUGUGAACUUCAGAUAGAACUCCUCGAGGUAAAUAACGAGCGAUAGAAGGAGCAACUUCAUCAAUCUCAAGACCAAGUCAGGAGCAGGAACUACGUCAUGGGCGAAGCUUUGACUCAAGUGCAAGAGGUGGCUGAUCACUUGCAAACAUUAGCAGUAUAAGCCGAUGUGCUGAGUUUAAAAUACGAGUCAGAAUCGGAUCGAGGCCGAGAGCUAACUUGGCUACUUAGGCAGGUAAAGGCCUUAAGUAUCAGGGCCAAGCCUUAUAUGUAAUCUAUUUUAUGUAAAGAAACUUGUUUUCUAGAAAAGUUACUCUAAUGAAAUCAAAUUAACAUUUUUUUGCAUUCAUCACAUUCAUUGCAUUCAUGCAUCAGCAUUACAUCACACGCACUAAAACUCACAAAAAACCCUAAAGAUCAUGGUAGUUACCCUGAAACAAUGUUACGGUACAAGAGGAAAAACAAGAGCAAUGGAUCAAAGGUUAGAAAGAUUAGAACAAAUGCAAAAAGAGAUGCAGGAUCAAUUACAAGCACGUAUACAAGAACAGCUUGCCAAAAUCCAGCAAGAUAUGAGGGACCAGAUGCUGGAGUCCCAGAAAAGCAUGAUGGACCAACUAACGCAUCUAUUGGCUGGCGGAUUAGAAAAAGGGAAAAGCCCAUUGAUCAAUGGGGGGAUGAUAAUGAAGAUCCUACUUACCCUCCAGGUUUUGCCCCAGCAAACGUUCAGACACAACCUGAUAUGUAUCCAAAAAGGCUAUCAGUCACAAUUAGACCUCGACCAUUUCAGGCUAGUGUUUCGGCACCGAUGAAUUAUCAGGCCGGCUCGGGCUCCAAUCCGGGGGAUAACCCGACCAACCCUGUGGUCCUCAAUCUCGAUGAAGUAAUAGAAACAAAAAAGACAAUGGUAGAACUCCCGAGAGAGCAGGAAGAAAGGUGUAGAUGGUUAGAAGAAAAAUUUAAAGAAAUGGAAAGCACCGACUAUCGUGGUGGAAUCGAUGCUAAGGAAUUAAGUUUGGUUCCGGACCUGGUACUCCCUCCCAAGUUCAAAACUCCAGAAUUUGAGAAGUACAACGAGACUAGUUGUCCCGAAGCUCACAUUACUAUGUUCUGCAGACGAAUGGCAGGCCAUGUCAAUAAUGACCAACUAUUAAUUCACUACUUCCAAGAAAGUCUGGUUGGGGCCGCUUCUAGAUGGUACAACCAACUGAGUCGCGCCCAGAUCAGUUCAUGGAAAGAUCUAGCACAAGCUUUCAUGAAGCAGUACGGUCAUUUGGCAGACAUAGCCCCUGAUAGAAUCACUUUACAGAAUAUGGAGAAAAAGCAUAAUGAGAGCUUUAGGCAGUACUCCCAGCGAUGGAGAGAGGUGGCCAUACAAGUCCAACCCCCACUGUUGGAAAAGGAAACCACUAUGCUCUUCAUCAAUACCCUGAAGGCACCUUUUAUUAACCACAUACUGGGAAGUGCAACCAAGAGUUUUUCAGACAUAGUAAUGUCUGGAGAAAUGAUAGAAAAUGCGGUAAGAUAUGGGAAAAUAGAGGUUGGGGAAAACGCCAAGAGGUCAGCGCUGAGAAAGAAAGAGCACGAGGUGAAUAAUGUGAGCUCAUAAUCGAAAUCGAUCACCGUAAGCCAACUAAGGUCGACAACUACUGGACAGUAGGGCCCACCUAGACAAGAGCCCAACACAAAACAAAAUAGGGAGAAACUCCAAUUUACGCCCAUUCCAAUGACGUACAAGGAGUUAUACCAAAGUUUAUUUGAUGCACAUGUCGUGUCUCCCUUCUAUCUAAAGCCAAUUCAACCUCUAUACCCCAAAUGGUAUUGUUGCAGGCCAAUUUUGGCCCAAUUUCAAACCCCAUUUAACCAACCCCAAACCAACUCCCAUUACAAAGCCCAAUUACCCAACUACACCCAUUUCCAUACACAAAUUAGCCUAUUACAACCCUUAACCAAAUAGCCCAUUUACCAACCCAAAUCAGCAGCCUAAAUAACCUCUAGCCCACACCUAUUACAAACCCAAUACAACUAAAUUAGCCCACACCUAUUACAAACCCAAUACAACUAAAUUAGCCCAAACAAUACCAAACCCAAAACAGAAAAAACAAAAAACUUAAGAACCCUAAGCCCCACUUGCACUAGGCUAGCCGCCUCUGACUCUCCACUUGCUCUACCAAAGUCUGCCACCACCGCUACCAGUCAAGUCCACCGCCCUUCACACCUGUAAACAAGCAAAGAAGACAAGACAAAAUAAAAAGGAAAGAAAACAGUUUGUACAAGAGGCUAUAUAAGCCGAUUCAGAAACAGUGUAAAGGAUCUCUUUUUUUUUCUUUCUCGGCACUAAACAAAUAGAAGAAAGAACAAAAGAUUAAACACAAAACGGUGAUAUCAAAGCAUAGAUCAAACACCAAAUAGUGAACAAAAACAUCAAAAAAAAUCAAAAUUGGAGCGAAGGUAAUUCAUUUAUUUUUUUUACCCCCGAUCUUUUUACCUCUUCUAUUCUUCCCUUUUUCGUUUCAAAUAUAUAUCAUAAAAAAUAAAUAAUAAAUAAUAAAAAAAUUCAGAGAUUUUACUUUUUUCCGGCCACCGUGGACGGUGGCUGGAAGCGGCAAAGUUACAGUGGUUGUUAGAUCUCCGGUGGUUGGACUCUGGGCUCAUCCGGGGAAAGGAGAGAGCCCACUCUUCUUUUUUUUAAGCAGCCGACUGAAAUAAAAAAAAAACAAAUUUUUUAACUUAUAUAGGGGCCCAAAACGCAACGUUUUGGACCCCUUUGUUCAACGAAAAACGACGUUGUUUUGGACUUCGGGUCGGGUCGACCCGACCUGCUCUGAACAAGAUCAGCGUGUUUUUAAGGGAGGGGUUAUUUUCUCGUUUAACCCCUCCGCUUUUUAAACGUUUUGCAAUUAAGUCUUGCGUUACUUUCAAUUUGGCCCUGAAAUUUUGCACGGUUUUCAAUUCAGUCCAGUUCAAUACAGUACGUUUUAGAGGCUCGGAUUUAUUGCGCUUUUGACCCCUCCAAGUUACACGCAUGUUAUAAUUUCGUCCUUUUCUUUAGUUUUUAUUUCAAAUUGGCCCCAAUAUUUAGUUUUUAAUUCAAUUUCGUCCUUUUUUACCUUUUUCGUUACUCUACUUUAAUUUAUUAUUAUUAUUACUAUUUAUUAUUAUUAUUAUUACUUCUAAUGUGCCCAUAUUAUGUAUUGUACUAUGUGUAUAUAUAUUUAUAUGUUACGUACUUUUAAUAUUAUAUUUAUAUAUAUUAUUAUGUAUAUUUUUAAUAUGUAUGUAUUUGUGAAGUAUUAUCAAUAGUUUUUUAUUAUUAUUAGUUUCAAAAUGUAUAUAUUGUGUUUAUAUUUUAAUACUACGCUAUAUAUGUUUUUGUAUUAUGUAUAUAUAUUUUUAAAUAUUAUAUAUUGAGUAUUUCUAACGUUAUUACUAUAUAUAUACGUACGUAUUUUUAUCGCAUAAAUAUUUUUAUUUAUCACUUCUAAUGUAUAUAUAUAUCGCAUAUGUUUUAUAUCGUAUAUUUCCCUUAUUUAUUUUUUAUUAGUUAUAUGUUUUUUAUUAUUUCAUGUACAUAUCUUUAUAUCAUCUUUAUUAUUAUUAAUCUUAAUACAUGUUUUAUAUAUGUAUAUAUUAUGUAUAUUUUAAUAUUAUAUUAUAUGUACGUAUUCAUAUUAUAGUGUUUUUAGUCACAUAUUUUUGUACUAUAUUAUUUUAUUAGUUUUGCUAUUAUUAGUAUUAGUUUUAGUUUCAAUGAAUAUUCUAAUAUGUAUAUAUAUACACUUUAGUAUCAUAGUUGUAUACUUUUAUACGGUCUUAUGUACAUAUAUUUACACGCAUAUUUUCUUUUAUAUACAUUUUUAAUAUCAUAUAUGUAUAUGCGUUUUUACUAUAUUAGUUAGUCUUUUUCCCUAUUUUAUAUAUAUAUUUCAAAUACUAUGUAUAGUAUAUUUAUGACUCUAUUACUAUAUAUAUUUUUUGUACACACUUUUAAUAUUAUUAUGCAUAUAUAUUCGUUAUUUUUAUUUCAUGUUUAAUAUUAUCAUUAUUUACGUUUAAUAUCGCAUGCAUGAUUAUUGUUUUUAAUAUUAUUAUCAUAUUUAUUAUUUGUUUUAAUAUAUACCUGGCACUUUUAUUUAUUUCUAUUUCAUAUCAAUUUGCUUUGCAUUAUUUCGAAAAUCUUAUUCCUGUUUUCCGAUUAAUUUCAAUGCAUAAGGCAACAUAUCGGUUUAACACCAAGUCGUCAAUUUCAUCGCUAUGUUGGAUGAAUAUCAAUCGACUCGUGUUAAAACGGUAUAUCUUCUCAAAAAAAAUCAAAAAGAUUGAAAAUUCUUGUCUUUUCAAACGAAUCACGAUUAAAUCUUAUAUUGAACUCGUAUUUUUGAAAAUCAAGACAACACGUGUUUAUAAGAUACCAAUUUUGGGCGUCGCGAGGGUGCUAAUACCUUCCUCGCGCGUAACCGACUCCCGAACCCUAAUUUUUCUCUGGAUUUUAACGUAGACCUAAACUCAGCCUUUUAUUUAUUUUAAUAAUAGAUCUAAUAGGUGUCCGAUCACACCUAGGAAAAAGGAUCGGUGGCGACUCCCUGUUUAUUUCAAAAAUCAAACGUCAAAUUUCAAAUUUUUUUAAAUAAAUUGCCACAAUUAGCGACCAAGCUAAGCAAAUUUUUACGUCGCUACAGUUGGCGACUCCACUGGGGAAUCAGCUUUUGGGAGUCGAGUCUAGAAAUAAACGCGUGUUGUCAAAAUUUUCAAAAUUCCUUGUUCGAUUUAAUGUUUAAUCGUGAUCCUCAAAUUUUGGUUUUUGAAAAAUCAUGCAUUUGUAUCGUGUUGUAUAUAUUCUUAUAACUUGUUUUGUCUGGUUGUUUUAAAGCUUUAAAUUCUUAUGGUUUUAGUUUUGGUUUAGUUUUUAAAUAAAACGUAAAGGUUUGUGAGUUUCUCCCCACACACCGUGCACGUGCAUUCUUGCAUAACACGAGCUCUAUACCCGGGCUCCGUCCGUUUAAGUGAAAGUAAACGCUAUGCCUUUGUGAGUUAACUCGUCCCUCCACACAGGCUAGUGAAUACUUUCGGGUUACAUAUAACUUAUGCUUCCGUGAGUUAACUUGUCCCUCCGCAUAGGCAUAAGUAAAUGUAAUCCCUCGAAUUGAACUUGUGAGCCUGUGAUGGGCUACGACUGAGGCUUCGUACGAAUCUUAGUAGAUGACAGUACGGACAAUUCGAGUACUAUCUAGAACUGAAACCGCAUAUAGUGAAUCGUACGAGCCACCUAACUAGAGCCAUACCUAACCUCCGUCCGUUAAUGGUCACCAAAAUAAGUACACGGGAGAAAUGCCUCUUGUCUCUCAUUUUCUUUACAUUUACACUGUUUAUACAAAAGAACUGAAUCGGGAAACUUAAUUUGUUUCUCAAUUUAUAAAAGUUGUGGUUACUAACCAAGUUUGUUUGUUUUCAUUCUUAUUUUACAUCAUGCAUUAUAGCUAUCAUAUUAGGAAGGUGUUGACUAGAGAUUUGCUUUCCAAAAAACGGGUUUCUAAUGGAAGAGUUAAUUAUACAAACAACCAAGAAGAAUGCCGUGGUUCGGGACUGGUCUCUAAAAACUCAGAAAGGAAAAGGGGAUAGUCUAGUGGAGGGAUGUAUUGCUAAUCUGCCCGAGCACGUAACUGUGAAUGUUCGCCAGAAUAACCUUGAAGAUUUGGUUCAGGUUUGGAAUCAGUGGGACUCGGACACUAGGGGUAUCUUCACCGAGAGAUAUGGAGACAUAGCCAAUUUGAUUGCUGUCAACGUAGAAGAACGAUUGAUCCAAGCCAUGGUCAGAUUUUGGGAUCCGGCUUACCAAUGUUUUACCUCCAAUCUAGAAGAUAUGACUCCGACUAUAGAGGAGUACGUUGCUUUGCUUCGUGUUGAAAAUGCGCAAUUCUAUAAAGUGUACGUGAAAGAUCCUAAGCCGAUGACCUUCAAGAAAAAGUUAGUGAGAUUGACAGACAUGACUGACGCAUGGGCCAAAAAACAGAUAAAGAAGAAGAAUGAAACCAUUUGCAUUCCAUGGUCUUCCCUACGAGAAUUGGUUCUGAACCAUCCCGACAUGUUGAAAAGAGUGAAUCUGUUUACUUUGGCCAUUUACGGUUUGAUCAUCUUCCUGAAAGUCCUUGGACACAUAGAAGUUGCGGUGGUGGAUUUCUUCGAAAGAUUAAAGCAAGGAAUCAACCCUGUCUCAACUAUUUUAGCCGAGACCUUCAGAUCCUUAAACAAUUGUAGGAAGAUGGGGAAGGGACGUUUUAUCGGAUGCGCCCAGUUACUCAAUAUCUGGAUUUUGAGCCAUUUCUGGAAAGUAGAACGCACACCAUACCACAUGUUUUCAAAAACUUUCGCCCCGUUGGAAGCCUAUCUUGAUAGAGAAUGGCCGAAGGAUGUCACCGAAGAGCAUUGGGUUUCAGUUUUUUAGAACCUUCGAGCUGAAGAUGUAACCUGGAGAGCGCCAUGGAUCCGCCCUUCAGUUCUGUUAUACAAGGUUGGAAAUCAAGAUUGGGUACUACUACUCGGGUUAUGAGGAGGAGUUGGAUAUGCUCCGCUAUUAGUCCAAAGGUAAUUUUCUUCACGACAAUUCAUACCCGCAACUGGAGGAUUAGCACAGUCCGAGUUCGCUUUCACGGGUGAAGGGUAUAUGAAGAGGAUCGAGACACUGCAAAGUCUUGGAAGAAAAUUUAUCUCAUGGAAUUAGCCCUAUAUGCUGAUACCCUCACCCAAGAUUACGACGUAUGGAGAAAGCAACGGGUGAACAAUCAGCAAAUCUCGUCAACGAACUACACUGUCCAGAAUCCUUUCUCGGAAGAAAUACCGUCUGAGCUAGAAAUGGCAAGACAAGAAUUUGAACGAGAAAAGGCCAAGAUGUCUCGAGACCUUAGUGCUCUUCAAGAGGAAAACUACCAAUUAAAGAUCGACGUUCAGAUUGAAAGAUCUAGAAUCGAGAAAGUGCAAAAAGAAGUUGAAUUCGUGAGAAGUGACUUAAGGGACCUCCAUCUGGAAAAUAAAAAGUUAAGAGGCACAAUAAAAAAUAGUGGGCUGGGAAAGUCGUCGACAGAAUGGAAAGAAGAAAUAAGCAACAUUAAAGGCAGGAUGGAAUUUUGGAAAGGAAAAGCGAAGAAAGAGGAGGAAAAGGCUGCGCGGGCUAUGAUAGAAAUGAGGAAGAAAAACACCGAAUAUGAAGCUGUGUCUGCCGAGGUAAUGACUAGUCGAUCUAAACGUCAAGAACUAAAAGAGAGGAUACGAGAGUUAGAAGAUAUACUGCAAGAUCGUCAACAACAGCUAGAUACUCUCUUGAAAGCUUUGGAAGAAAAGAAUAGCCAAUAUGAUAGAGACAUUCGUGCUUACGAAGAGAGCCUCCAAGAAAAAGAAAUGCAACUUAGCUUUCUGAUAAAUGAAAUUCGUGGGGUAGCCAUGCACGUGGUACAAUUAUCGGAAGAAACUAAAAUUCUCAUUUGUCAAUUCCCUCCAAAUCGAAGAUCAAAUAUAUCAGAGUUCUUAGCACGAGUAAAGAAAUACGGCGAUAUAGCUAGGAAGUUUGUGUAAUGGCUGAAUCGAAAAUGGUAAAAUGUUUUGUAAUGAACUCUUUUGAUGAAUGAAAUGCCUAAAUAGGGGCUAUAUUGAAAUCAAUACCAAUUUCUUGCAUUUCCUUCAUGAUUGGCAUUCAUUUAGGCAUUCAUUCAUUCAUUCAUUGCAUAUCCUAUAAUCAUUCGCUAAGGUUAAAAUAUACAAUUCGCUGUUGUAAUACCACAAGCCUGGAACCACGUCAUUCAUAUAGAACGCAUCGACAAGCUAGGGCAAUGGAGGCUGAAUUCAAUGAAAGAAUCGAAAGAAUGGAAAGAGUCCAAAGGGAAUUAUAAGAGCAGUUGGCCAAGUCGCAAUAAGAGACAAGUGAUCUAAUGGUGAGAUCUUGAGAAGAAUUACUCGAACAGAAGGAUCAAAUGGCCAAGAUGAUGGAAAUGAUGUCAGCUUUAGUUAAGAGAAAAGGACCCAUGCAGAGCCCUGACGUUGAAGAACCUCGGUCAAGAGUUAAUCACAGUCAAGAUCCGCUCUAUCCCCCAGGAUUCACUCUGCUGCACGCCCACGCAACACAAAGAGAGUACACCUAGGGGGAACCCACAGACCUGGAGCAACGGGUGGUGCCAUCUGCUCACAUAGGGUAAGGAAUAUUUGUAUCAAACUCGGGGGCUAGUCCUGCUGAUCCACUCAUUCCAGAUUUGGACGAUCCAGCAGAAAUAGCCAAGUUGAAAAUCGGUGAUCACGAGGUUCAAGAGAAGUAUAGGAGCUUAGAGGAAAGACUUAAAGCAAUAGAUGGUACUGAAGCCUUCUCUGCACUGAGUGCCAAAGAGCUCAGUUUGGUGCCCGAUCUGGUUCUGCCUCCGAAAUUUAAAGUACCAGAUUUCGAAAAAUACGAUGGCACGAGAUGUCCAAAAGUGCAUUUUGUCAUGUUUUGCCGGAAAAUAACUGGUUACGUGAAUGAAGACAAGCUACUCAUACAUUGUUUUCAGAAUAGUCUAGUAGGGUCGGCUCUUCGGUGGUACAACCAGCUUAGUAGGGAAAAGAUCCGAUCUUGGAAGGACUUGGCGUCAGCCUUCUGUGAGCAGUACAAGCAUGUAUCGGAUAUGGUGCCUGGUCGAAUGACCCUACAAAUGAUGGAAAAGAAACCAGCAGAAACCUUUAGAUAGUACGCACAAAGGUGGAGAGAUAUCUCGACCCAAGUGAAACCCUCACUAACAAAAAACGGAGAUAACCGUUCUCUUUAUCAACACUUUGAAAGCGCCGUUUUAUGACAAACUAGUGGGAAGUGCCACGAAGGACUUUACGGAUAUUGUGAUAUCCGGUUAGCUUAUAGAGAAUGCCAUCAAGAGUGGUAGAAUGGAAGGUCAAGAAAGUUCAAUAAGGGUAGUGCCCAUGAAGAAGAAAGAACUAGAAGCCCAUAUGGUGGGAAUCAGAAGCCGUUAUACCCCUAAUCCAUAUCUAAACCAAUCUUGACCUCGAAAUUAUCCUCCUCCAAAUUUCUAUUAUCCUCCUCAGACCCCUUACUACCAAGCACCACCUCCUUCCUACCCUGUAUACGCCAUGAACAACCAAAGGCCCGUCACUACAUUCCUACAAAACACUCUACUCGCUCAAAACCAACCCAGAAAUAAACCAAGACCAACAAGACCCAAUCCCGAGAGACCGCAAUUCACCCCUAUUCCUGUGUCGUAUGGGGAACUGUACUCAAAACUCCUGGAGAAGUAAUUAAUAUCUCCCCAUUACAUGGCACCCCUUAAACCUCUAUACCCGAAAUGGUACGAUCCAUAUGCUAGUUGUGUAUACCAUAUCGGGAACCAGGGGCACUCUACGAAAAACUGCCUCACCUUCAAAAGGAGAGUUCAAGGACUCAUCGAUGCAGGUAUUCUGUGAUUUGAUGGCACCGGCGGUACAUCCAGGAACCCAUUCUCAAACCAUGCCGAAGGGAAUGUGAGCGCAGUGGGAGAGGAGUACAAACGAUAGAGUAGAAUAUGGGUUUCUAAAAUAAGAACACCUCUGCAGAAAAUCUGAGAGGUGCUAUUUGAAAAGGGGUUGCUCUAUCAUCUUAACAGAGUAUUCGAGGGAAGGAAUACAAAAGAUCAAAGUUUUUGUGAAUUCCAUGGUAUUGAGGGGCACGACAUUCAAUCCUACGAAGUGUUCAAGAGAUUACUGCAAAAUAUGAUGGACAAUAAGAAGAUUGGGAUUUUUUAUAAAGGCAAAGAGGCCGAUAGAGGAGAAAUAUGCGCCUCUGACCAUCAAUCGUCAAGUUUCCCGUAUAGCGCCGACCAACCGUUAAUAAUUUAUUAUGACGCGAAGAAGGAGUUGGUGAAACCAAAAAUGAUAAUCGAGGUGCCAUCUCCUUUCCCCUAUAAGGACAAUAAAGCAGUACCAUGGAAAUAUGACGUCAAUAUCAUCACACCUGAAGAUGAAAAACCCAAAGCCAUGACUGGAAGCGUUAGGGAAGUAGGUCAUUUCACUCGUAGUGGAAGAUGUUAUUCGAAAGAGGUUGAACCAGUGAAGAAGAACAGUGACUUGAAACAGAAAGGAAAAGUACCAAUGCGUGUGACCGAAGAUGAGCAUGAAACUGUGCCUGAGCAAGAAACUAAAAAGCCUGUGGACGAAGAAGAAGCACAGGAAUUCUUAAAAUUUAUUAAGUACAGUGAGUACAACGUGGUGGAAUAAUUGAGUAAGUAGCCAGUGCGAAUCUCGGUAUUAUCUCUACUGUAGAAUUCAGAACCACACCGGAACGCUCUGCUGAAAGUGUUAAAUCAAGCUUAUGUGGCAAACAAUAUAUCCGUUGAAAAACUGGAUAGGUGGGUCAACAACUUGAAUGCGGAUAAUUUCAUUUCUUUUAGUGAUGAUGAAAUACCGCCCAAUGGUAGAGGUUCAGUGAAAGCAUUGCAUAUCACAACCCGUUGUAAGGGCUAUAUAAUACCGAACGUGCUCAUCAACAAUGGAUCGGCACUUAACGUCAUGCCUUUAGCCACACUUUUUAGAAUUCCGAUGGAUUUGUCCUAUCUAAGGCCUUGUCAUUCCACAGUAAGGGCAUUUGAUGGAACAAGACGUGAAGUCAUGGGAAAAAUCGAGAUCCCUCUAGAAGUGGGUCCCUACAUAUACGAUGUUUAAUUUCAAGUCAUGGACAUUACACCAUCAUACAAUUGUCUCUUGGGAAGACAUUGGAUCCAUUCUGCUGGAGCAGUCCCAUCAUCCCUCCAUUAAAAGGUGAAAUUUAUCAUGGAUGGCUGUUUGGUCACUGUCGAGGGUGAAGAAGACAUUGUAGCAUCUAUUUCUGCCGACGCACCAUACAUUGAAGUGAGUAAAGAUGCUAUGGAAUGUUCCUUCCGAUCUCUUGAAUUUGUUAAUGUCGCAUUCGUCGCUGAGGGAAACAGAAUUUCGGAGCCAAAACUGUCGAGAAAUACUAGGAUGGGUGUCAAGUUGACUGUAGGAAAGGGAGCCCGAGUAAGGAAAGGUUUGGGAAGGUACCUGCAAGGAAUAGUCAGGGCUCUAAAGUCAGUGCACCACAAGGCCCGAUACGGUUUGGGGUUCCAGCUGGACAUGGGUCAAAGAAGAAAACAGUGGAAGAAGGAUCAAGAGAGAAAGAUUGCAAGAACUUUGGGCCGAGAAGUAAAAUGGGAGCCCAUAACGUACCCUCUUUUGUCAAAAACAUUUACAUCUGCAGGGAUGAUAUACCCCGGACAGGAUAAUAUACAAAGCACACUGUUAUUAAUUGAAAGGGGUCUUCAGAAUGUCAGUAUAAAUGUCAUUGACAAAGAAAGUAGGGCAAUUAAAGAUGUUUCAACGAUACGCCCUUGUCCUGCUGGUUUCAUGUUGAACAAUUGGACUACUGAGGACCUUCUUGUAGUUUAUAAGUCUUCAGAGUAAUGCUCAAACAUUAACCCUCUAUUGUGUCCUUAGAUAUAAUAGAAUUAUUUUGUAAGAGCUUGCAUUCGCUCUUUAUCAUUUAAAUGAAUAUCAAUGAAGAUGCAUUUUGUCACGAUCUUUCGCAUUAUCACUAAUUUCAUGAUCAUCUUCUCAUUUCAUAGCCUAUCUGUACAUUUGCCUCAUACCAUGCCAUAGCAUUUCGUUUGUUGGUUCCAAUAUUGGGAUGCCCCUCUAUAGUUUCCUUUUCCAUUCAACUUUCAGGUGCUCAAAUAUCAACGGCAUGAACAAACCCGUUACGAGUCUUGAAAUCGAUUUUGAGAAGGCUAUUUGUUUAGGAGAAUUUGAAGUUGAAAAAAAUACUGAAGACUAUCGUCUCCUGACCUGCUAAGAAUGGUGGAACAAGAGGAUAAACAGAUUUUGCUCAUCAAGAAUCUGUUGAAACAAUAAAUUUAGGGACUGAAGAAAGGAAGCAAGAAGUGAAGAUUGACACCUCUAUUUUAGGGGGCACCAGGCACAAUUUGAUUGCUUUGCUCCACGAGUACAAAGAUGUAUUCGCAUGGUCAUAUUAGGAUAUGCCAGGAUUGGAUGAAGAUGUUGUGGUCCAUAAGCUCCCAUUAAAGCCAGAAUGCAAACCCAUUCAACAAAAGCUAAGACGGAUGAGACCUGAGAUGUUGUUGAAAAUAAAAGAGGAAGUCAAGAAACAAUUUGAUGCUGGCUUCCUACAAGCCUCCAAAUAUCCAGAAUGGGUGGCUAACAUAGUCCCUGUACUAAAGAAAGACGGCAAAGUACGAAUGUGCAUAGAUUAUCGUGACCUGAAUCGAGCAAGUCCUAAGGAUAAUUUUCCCUUACCACACAUUGAUACGUUGGUAGAUAACACAUCAAAACAUUCAUUGUUUUCGUUCAUGGAUGGAUUCUCGGGUUAUAAUCAGAUCAAGAUGGCCUUUGAGGAUAUGGAGAAGACUACUUUCAUAACAAUGUGGGGAACAUUCUGCUACAAGGUAAUGCCGUUUGGAUUAAAGAAUGCUGGGGUAACAUAUCAUAGGGCUAUAGUAACAUUAUUCCAUGAUAUGAUACAUAAAGAAAUAGAGGUCUACGUCGACGAUAUGAUUGCUAAAUCUCGAGGGGAAGAAGAGCAUGUAGUGAACCUGAAGAAGUUGUUCGACAGACUGAGAAAGUUUCAGCUAAAGCUUAAUCCAACCAAAUGUACGUUUGGGGUUACCUCGAGAAAGUUGCUAGGAUUUAUUGUCAGUGAAAGAGGUAUCGAGGCUGAUCCAGAUAAAAUAAAAGCCAUUCAAGAGUUACCACCUCCACGCACGCAAAAGGAAGUCAGAGGUUUUUUAGGGUGGUUAAACUACAUCGCCCAAUUCAUCGCUUAACUUACCAACCAGUGUGACCCAAUCUUUCGACUCCUUCGAAAACAUAAUCCCGGAGAAUGGAACGAGGAGUGCCAAGUGGCUUUUGACAAGAUAAAAUAGUAUUUGUCUAGUCCUCCAGUGCUAGUACUGCCAAUGCCGGGAAGACCAUUGAUAUUGUAUUUGACUGUGUUCGAGAAUUCAAUGGGUUGCGUAUUGGGGCAACAUGACGAGUCAGGAAAGAAAGAAAAGACAAUCUACUACCUCAACAAAAAGUUCACUGAAUAUGAGGCAAAGUAUUCGUCCAUAGAAAAAUACUGUUGCACUCUGGUUUGGGUAGCUCGAAGACUCAGGCAAUAUAUGUUGUAUCAUACGACAUGGAUAAUUUCAAAGAUGGACCCAAUAAAGUACAUGAUGGAAUCACCUGCACUCUUAGGAAGAAUGACACGAUGGCAGAUCCUUUUAUCGGAAUACGACAUUGCCUAUGUAAGUCAGAAGUCGAUAAAAGGGAGCGCAAUAGCUGAUUUCUUAGCAACUCGAACAACAGAGGAAUACGGGCCAUUGAGAUUUGAUUUCCCAGAUGUACAUUACAGAAAAAGAAUAUGAGUCAUCAAAAGAAAAGUCAUGGAAGAUGAGCUUUGAUGGUGCAUCAAAUGCAUUGGGGCAUGGGAUUGGAGCAGUCUUAGUAUCACCAGAAGGAAACCAUUAUCCGUUCACUGCCAGGUUGAAUUUCUUCUGUACCAAUAACAUAGCUGAAUAUGAGGCCUGUAUCAUGGGACUUCGUGCAGCAAUUGAACGAAACAUCUAAACUUUAGAGGUAUACGGAGACUCAACAUUGGUGAUUUAUCAGAUCCGUGGAGAUUGGGAAGUGAGGGAUUCAAAAUUAGUCAAAUACAGUGAUCUCGUGGCAGGGUUGACUAAAGAAUUCAAAGAAAUAACCUUUAAUUACUUCCCAUGAGAAGAAAACCAGUUAGCUGAUACCCUGGCCACUUUAGCUUCAAUGUUUAAAGCAAAUAGAGAAACAUAAAUAAUGUCUCUUCGAAUGAGCAUAUAUGAAGUCCCUGUAUAUUGUUUCAGCAUUGAAAAAGAGCCAGAUGGAUGGCCAUGGUUUCAUGAUAUCCUAAAAUAUAUCAAGAAUCAAAAGUAUCUCGAAGAAGCAAAUGAGAACGACAAAAGAACAAUCAGAAGAAUGGCAGCGGGAUUUGUUCUUGAUGGGGACAUCCUGUACAGAAGAGGAAAAGAUCAAGUGCUCUUGAGAUGCGUGGAUACUGUUGUGUAACACCCCUAAAGUGACCCUAGUCGGAAAGCGGUCUCAGGACCGCUAGACCGAGUCACCAAAUUAUUUGAAUGUGAUAAUUAUUGCCUAAAAUAUGUGAAUAUAAAUGUGUGAAAGUUUUAAGCUUCGAUUUAGUUAAUUGCAUGUGAAUUUAGUUGAUAGGACUUAUGUGAGAAAAUUUAGAAAUGUGCUAGGCAAAUGCAAGUGGCCUAAUAGUGCAUGUAAUCAAAGGGGUGGACUUGCAUGUCAAUUUCCCCCCAUUUAAGUACUAGUGGCCGACCAUGACAAGGGAUGAUGGGCAAAACAUGUUGUGUUAAUGGAAAAAUAAAAUAAGAAGCAUGGGCAAAACAUGUCAUGAAACAUGUUGUGUUAAUGGAAGAAUAAAAUAAGAAGCAUGGGCAAUCAACUAAUAAGAAAUUGAAGGAAGAAAACAAAGAGAAAAAAAUGUGUUCAUCAUUCUCAUGCAUGACAAAAAAAAGAAGAGAAAGGCUCUCAUGUUGUUCUUGGCCGAAUAGGAGAAAGAAAAAGAAGGAAAAAGAGCUUUGAGGAAAUCGGCUAUGGUGGUUUGAUAGACUAAGGUAUGUUUGAUGAUGUUCCAUGAGAUGCAUGCAUGUUUUAGUAGUUAGCUUGAGUUCUAAAUAGCCCAUGGUUCAAAUCUUUACUAUGUCAUGGAGAUGAUAUUCGGCCAAGGUGGAUUGGUGUUGAUAUCAUUUGCAUGCUAAAAGUGAAUCUUUGUAAUGGUGCAUGUGAUGGUGGAUUGAUGAUUCUUGAAUCUUCUUUUUAGCAUUUUUGAGUGAGACAUUAAGUUCUUUGUUUAACCAUGACCAAAAAUUGAAAUGGUAUGGUGUUGUGAUACAAUCGGCCUCAACAUAGACAUGUAUGUUCGGCCACAUGAAUAAGUACAUAAGUUAUGUGUAUAUUCGGCCAUAAGCUAGCAAAAUGAGACUUUAAUGAGUUAAAUUUGUUUGAAUUAAGCUCAAGAGCAAAGGGGAACUAAAUCCGAUAAAGGGAAGGAAAAAGUGGUCGAAUAGCCGCCGAAAUCGUUCGACAACAUCCGAGGUAAGUUUUAAGUGUUUAAACGUUGAGUAAAUUCAAUUAUAAUAGGACAUGAUGAGUUGAUUUAAUAAGAUAUGAUGUGGCCAUGAUAUGUUCUAAGCUCAAAUGGUAAGUUCUUAAGUGUUUGAGCUUGGGAAUUUAAGAGAAAUUUGAAAUAGUCUGCUUAAGACAGCAGCAGUAACGUGACUUUAGAAAAUCACCAUAAAUUUAUGGAUUUGAAUUAGAGGCUGAAUGAGACAUGAAAUUAAAGCUUAAUGAGUCUAGUUUCUUAUAAAAGAAACCGUGUAAGCAAAGGAAUUUCCGAUAAUGAGAUACUUAAAGUUGUGUGAGACAGCGCAGAAUGACACUGUAAUCAUCUGUUCUAUUUUUAGAAAAUCAUUAUAAAUUGUACAAAAAUGGUUAUAAGAUAAAAUUUAUAUGCUUAGACUCCUUAAUGAGUCUAGUUUCAAAUUAAAUCAAAUACAACACAUUUUGAAUUCUGUAAAAUGAGAAAUUUGAUUCGUAGUGAAGAGUGGUCAGAUUAGUCAAACAGUGAAACAGGGGAAACUUUAAGAAAAAUCUGGUAUUGAUUGGCCAAACCUAAAAUUCUGGAAAUUUUAUGGAUGGAAUAUAUACGAGUCUAUAUUCAGGAAAAAUUAAUGGAAAGUGAUUUGGAGUUUUGUAGCUCCAGUUAUAAAUAAUUUAGUGACUAUUGCUCAGGAAAAACAGCUUGUGCUGAAUUUGAGAUUGUGUUGUAAACCUUGAUAAACUUGUUUUAGUUGCUCAUAAGCUAUUGAUUAAACCCAUACGUGAAUUCUAAAUUGUGAUAUUGGAAAAUGAUAGAUGUAGAUUCAGCCAAGACAGUGUGUAUACGUGAAAGUAUAUGUGGUAUGUGAAGUAUAUUUGGAUAAUUGUGAUGUGAAUACAUGAAAAUCUAUAUUUUGAUUUAAGAUUCUAUGUGAUGGAUGUGAACAUGCAUAUAUGAGAUAAGGCCUAAUGGCCGAUGUGAUGAAUGUGAAAGUGUAUAUAUAUGUGAUAAGGCCUAAUGGCCGAUGUGAUGAAUGUGAAAGUGUAUAUAUGUGAUAAGGCCUAAUAGCCGAUGUGGUGAAUGUGAAAGUGUAUAUAUGUGAUAAGGCCUAAUGGCCAAUGUGAUAAAUGUGAAAGUGUAUAUAUGUGAUAAGGCCUAAUAGCCGAUGUGAUGAAUGUGAAAGUGUAUAUAUGUGAUAAGGCCUAAUGGCCGAUGUGAUCAAUGUGAUAAAUGUGAAAGUGUAUAUAUGUGAUAAGGCCUAAUGGCCGAUGUGAUGAAUGUGAAAGUGUAUAUAUGUGAUAAGGCCUAAUGGCCGAUGUGAUGAAUGUGAAAGUGUAUAUAUGUGACAGGGCCGAGUGGCCAACGUGAUGGAUGUGAAAGUGUAUAAAUGUGAUAAGUCCCGAAGGGCAUUUGUGUCAGUACUAUAUCCGGGUUAAAACCCCGCAGGCUUUAUGCGAGAAUAUUAUCACUGAUUAAUGUCCGUAAGCUUCGUGCUCGUACUAUAUCCGAGCUCUAAAGACCCGAUGACUACGUAUGGGGAUUUUGUCCGGGUAAGACCCGAUAACUUCGUGUGGAGAUUAUGUCCGGGUAAGACUUCGUAAUAAGAAUUGCUUAUAAAUAUAUUCAAUGCGAAAUGUUAAACAGGUAUGUACUCCAAGUUUAUAUGUGAGCUUGAUUUGCACUAAAUCAUAAGGUAGUUAUGUGAUGCAUACGAGAGCAAUCUAUGAGACUAUUCCUAUGAUUAUGUGACAUCGGAUCAGUGUGAGAGGUUAUGUGAAAUCAUACGAUAUAUCUAUGUCACAUGAGCUCACUUUUAUGUGAAAGUUUAUCUGCCUAUUGUAUAUGAUGAGAUGUGCAUAUUCGGUAAAGGGAUGGUAUGCCCGAAGGAAGAGUGAAAUAAAAAAUACGAACAACUAUGUUAUAAUUUGAUUGUUAUCUGUUGACACUGCUUAAAACUUACUAAGCAUUAAAUGCUUACUCCGUUCUUUGAAUCUCUGUUUUAUAGAUUUUGGUUCGUCAGCUAUCGGACUCGGGAUUUUUGGAAGUCGAAGUCUCCCACACUAUCAAAGCCCCCUUUUGGUACAAUUUUGGUUGAACUUUGAAAUGGCAUGUAUAGGACUACCCUUUUGUUGUUGGUCAUGUACCCUUCGGUUUUGUGUAAAUUUGGAUAGCCAUGCGAAAAUGGCUUAAAUAUACUUUGAUCAUAGCAUUAUAAUCGUUUUGUAUGUUGUCCGUCGAGAGGUAUGGAAAUGUUGGUAACGGUUAGCCAUGGGAAGGGUUAUUCUUGAUCACUUUUGGAAUAUGUAUGACAAACUCUAGUUGAUCCAUGGAGGAUCAUGAAAUAGGUAAAGUUUACCUUAAAAAAAAACAGAUGCUGGCAGCAGCAGUGAUGUGGAUGUGAAAAAUCACUAAAAAUAGUAGGAAUGAAAUUAAAUAGUGAAUAAAUUAUGUAAGAGAACCUUGAUGAAUCUAUUUUCAUAGGAAAGUAACGAAACUAUCAUAUGGAUAGUAUGUUAAGAGAUAUUCAGGUUCUCGUGAGACAGGGCCAGAACAGUUUCUGGAUUCCCUGUUCCGACUUUGGAAAUUCAUUAUAAAUUAACCAGAGAUAAUUAGGAGUCAUGCAAUAUAUGUAUAGAUUCCUCUCUGAGUCUAGUUUCUAUAAAAACAAACGGCAUCAGUAUUGAAACUCUGUGCAGGGAGAUAUCCAAAUCGUAAUGCAUGAAGGUCAGUGUAGUUGCACCCUGUAACAGGGGAGAAUUUAACGAAUAAACUGUACUAAUUGGACCAACCAAAAAUUCUAGAAAAAAAUAUGUAGAUGGGCAUAUGAGUUUAGUUUCAGGGAAAAAUUAUGAAACUGAUUUUCGAGUUGUGAAACUCAAGAUAUGAUUUUUAAGGUGACAGUGACGUAGUUAGCCAACUGCCUGGAAAUUUUUAAAAUGGACUGCGAUAGUAAGCGAAUUUAGUCUGUGAACCCCUCGUGUCCGACUCCGGUAACGGUCUCGGGUACGAGGUGUUACAUGUUGAAACUAGGAAAAUACUUGAAGAUGUCCAUAAAGGAAUUUGUGGGACACAUGCCAAUGGUUUCACUAUGGCCAAGAAGAUUAUGAGACUCGGUUAUUAUUGGCUGACGAUGGAAAGUGACUGCAUUAGUUUUGCAAGAAAAUGCCACAAAUGCCAAAUUUACGGUGAUAAAAUCCAUGUAGCCCCUUCGCCCCUUCAUGUCAUGACUUCUCCAUGGCCAAUUUCCCCAAAAGCUUCUAAUGGACACCGAUUUAUCUUUAUGGUUAUUGAUUACUUCACAAAAUGGAUAGAAGCUGCUUCGUUUGCCAAUGUGAUGAAGACCGCAGUUUGCAGGUUUUUGAAAAAGGAAAUCAUUUGUCGAUAUGGUUUGCCUGAAAGAAUUAUUUUAGAUAACGCCAUGAAUCUGAACAACAAGAUGAUGAAGGAGGUGUGUGAACAAUUCCAAAUAAAGCAUCAUAACUCAUCACCCUAUCGCCCGAAAAUGAACGGAGCUGUUGAAGCGGCCAAUAAGAAUAUUAAGAAGAUUAUUGGGAAAAUGAUCGAGACAUAUAAAGACUGGCACGAUAAGCUACCAUUUGCUUUGUAUGCAUAUCGCACAUCUGUGCGGACAUCUACAGGAGCAACUCCUUUCUCUCUGGUCUAUGGAAUGGAAGCUGUGCUACCUAUCGAGGUUGAGAUCCCCUCUCUACGAGUCUUAAUGGAAUCAAAACUAGAAGAAGCAGAAUGGAUUCGAGCUCGAUAUGACCAGUUGAACCUCAUCGAAGAAAAACGUUUAAAGACAAUCUGUCAUGGACAGAUGUACCAGAAGAGAAUAAUCGCAACCCAUGACAAGAAAGUACGGCCAAGAGAAUUCCAUGAAGGAGAACUCGUGCUGAGAAAGAUUCUCCCAAUACGAAAAGACUUCCGAGGAAAAUGGGCACCAAAUUGGGAAGGUCCAUACGUCGUAAAGAAGGCAUUCUCGGGCGGAGCUUUGAUUCUCACUGAGAUGGAUGGGAAGGAGUUACCUAAUCUAGUGAAUUCAGAUGCUGUGAAGAAAUAUUACGCCUAAAAAAAAGAGAAGAAGAAGAAGAAGAAGAAGAAGAAGAAGAAGAAGGGGGAAUCAAGGUGAAAACCCGAAAAGGGCGUCUUGAUUAACACAAAAGAUUAGGAUGAAAGCCCGAAAGGGCGUUCUAAUGAAGCAAGCACUGGCUUAAAGGGCAAGGCGGUCGAAUAGUAGGUCAAACAGCAAGACUAUAGUAUUUGAAGCAUUUUUUGAAAGCUCGAAAUCUUCUACGCAAGAAGCCAUACUCAAAAAGAUUCCUGAUUGAGGAACGUGGAAGAGUUCAUGCAUUGAAUAUCUAGAGCAUUUGUAUUCGUUGAGUGCGACCCCUUUUCUCUUUAUGACACUUUUUACUAUCAUUGAUUAACUUUCUUUGUUUGCUACACUUGAAACAAAUAAAUGUGAGGUAGCCUUUUUGCCCCUACCUAACCAUUUUCAUGCAUCUCAUUAUGUGUUUAUUUACAUGAUAAAUAGUGAAAUGACAUACUCUAAACAAAAGAAAUGUUAAGCAUUACCUGGAUGAAAAUUUGACAAAUACAAGAGUUUCAAAGCAAUGGCAAAGUCCAACCAGGGGCAAAAGAGCGAUAUCUGAGAAACACAGAUUACUCGUGAAGCUUGAAGACGGGUACAAAGCCUGAAGAGAAAGUCAAGAGCUGAAGUCAUGAAUACAGAUCAUCAUGAAAAAUCGUGACGAAAAAGGACAUAUGACAAACAUGCCUAAGGCGCAUAGCAUAAUCAUGCAGGCAUAAAGACAUUUAAGAUGAACAUGUUCAUCACGCAUGACAUAUAUAGGUACUCCAGUAGAGCAAGAAGAUGUGAUGAUAGCUGUAUUGAACCAAAGGAAAAGACACCUGAGUUCAACAAAUUUUGGUAUUUUGAUGUUUCACUUCUGUCUUUCAAAAAUCAACUCAUAUUGCGAGAGGUGAGUUGAGCCUCAGAACACGCUGAGGUAUUUUCAAAAUUCUAUCUUUAAUUUUUACCUUUCCAAAUCAACUCAUAUUGCAAGAGGUGAGUUAAGCCUUAGAGCACAUUGAGGUAUUUUCAAUUUCUGCUUUUCAAUUUCUGUUUUUCAAAAAAAUCAACUCAUAUUGCGAGGGGUGAGUUGAGCCUCAGAACACGCUGAGGUAUCUUCAAUUUCCGUUUUUCAAGUUAUGCUUUUCAAAAAUCAACUCAUAUUGCGAGAGAUGAGUUGAACCUCAGGGCACCUGAGGUAUUUUCAAUUUCUGUUUCUUUCAAUUUAUAUUUUUUAAAAAUCAACUCAUAUUGCAUGAGGUGAGUUGAGCCUCGGGUCACAUGCCAAGGUAUUUUCAAAUUCUGACUUUCAAAUUCUGUUUUUAAUUUCUACUUGUCAAAAAUCAACUCAUAUUGCGAGAGGUGAGUUGAGCCUCAAGACAUGCUGAGGUAUUUUAAAUUUCUGUUUGUCAAAAAUCAACUCAUAUUGCAAGAGGUGAGUUGAGCUUUGGCUCACGUGCAGAGCCACUUUCAAUUUCUAUUUUUAAUGUCCGUUUUUAAAUCAACUCAUAUUGCGAGAGGUGAGUUGAACCUCGGGUCACACCUCGAGGUAUUUUCAAAAUCUGCUUUUAAGUUUCAAAAGCUAACUCAUAUUGCGAGAGGUGAGUUAAGCUUUGGCUCAUGUGUUGAGCUAUUUUCAAUUUCUUUUUUUAGUUUAUGUUUUUGAAAGAGUCAAUUCAUAUUGCAAGAAAUGAGUUGAGCUCAAGAUCAUGCUGAGUAAAGAAUAAAGAUUGAAAUUGAUUGAAGACACCAGAUUUGGCCUCCCUGAAGGUGCAGUGGAGCAAGUCAAAGUUACAAGUCUUAUCUCCCUGAAGUUGCAGGGGAGCUGAUCGGGGAUAUCAGAUAUUGCUUUUCUAAAGUUACAGAAGAGAAGACCACAAACCCUAUCUCACUGAAGCAAUAGAAGAGCAGAUUGAAGAUUUACAUUGCACCAGAUGGAAAGCUACAAGUCAAAGUUCUGAAGUCGCGAUGGAUUGAACCAAAGCUACGGGUUAGAACGGGACUACUUGGAAAAGAGAAGCUCUAAAGGAAGUCAAGACUCUGCAAGACCGGGCAAAAUUAGCCUUUCUUUGUGUCUUUGCUAUUUUCCCGUUACACGACAAUGAGCAAAGAGAGGCAGCUGUUGCAGGCCAAUUUUGGCCCAAUUUCAAACCCCAUUUAACCAACCCCAAACCAACUCCCAUUACAAAGCCCAAUUACCCAACUACACCCAUUUCCAUACACAAAUUAGCCUAUUACAACCCUUAACCGAAUAGCCCAUUUACCAAUCCAAAUCAGCAGCCCAAAUAACCUCUAGCCCACACCUAUUACAAACCCAAUACAACUAAAUUAGCCCAAACAAUACCAAACCCAAAAUAGAAAAAAUAAAAAACCUAGGAACCCUAAGCCCCACUUGCACUAGGCUAGCCGCCUCUGACUCUCCACUUGCUCUGCCAAAGUCUACCACCACCGCUACCAGUCAAGUCCACCGCCCUUCACACCUGCAAACAAGCAAAGAAGACAAGACAGAAUAAAAAGAAAAGAAAACAGUUCGUACAAGAGGCUAUAUAAGCCGAUUCAAAAACAGUGUAAAGGCUCUCUUUCUUUUUUCUGUCUCGACACUAAACGAAUAGAAGAAAGAACAAAAGAUUAAACACAAAAUGGUGAUAUCAAAGCAUAGAUCAAACACCAAAUAGUGAACAAAAACAUCAAAAAAAUCAAAAUUGGAGCGAAGGUAAUUCAUUUAUUUAUUUUUUACCCCGAAUAUUUUUACCUCUUCUAUUCUUCCUUUUUUCGUUUCAAAUAUAUAUCAUAAAAAAUAAAUAAUAAAUAAUAAAAAAAUUUCAGAGAUUUUACCUUUUUCAGGCCACCGUGCAUGGUGGCUGGAGGCGGCAGAGUUACGGUGGUUGUCAGAUCUCCGGUGGCCGGAUUCUGGGCUCAUCCGGGGAAAGGAGAGAGCCCACUCUUCUUUUUUUUAAGCAGCCGACUGAAAUAAAAAAAAACAAAAUUUUUAACUUAUAUAGGGGGCCAAAACGCACCGUUUUGGACCCCCUUAUUAAACGAAAAACGAUGUCGUUUUGGACCCAGGUCGGGUCGACCCGACCUGCUCUGAACAGGAUCCGCGUGUUUUUAAGGGAGGGGUUAUUUGCGCGUUUAACCCCUCCGCUUUUUAAACGUUUUGCAAUUAAGUCUUACGUUACUUUCAAUUUGGCCCUGAAAUUUUGCACGGUUUUCAAUUCAGUCCAGUUCAAUACGGUACAUUUUAGAGGCUCAGAUUUAUUGCGCUUUUGACCCCUCCAAGUUACGCGCAUGUUAUAAUUUCGUCCUUUUCUUUAGUUUUUAUUUCAAAUUGGCCCCAAUAUUUAGUUUUUAAUUCAAUUUCGUCCUUUUUUAUCUUUUUUCGUUACUCUACUUUAAUUUAUUAUUAUUAUUAUUACUAUUAUUAUUAUUACUUCUAAUGUGCCCAUAUUAUGUAUCGUACUAUGUGUAUAUAUAUAUUUAUAUGUUACGUACUUUUAAUAUUAUAUUUAUAUAUAUUAUUAUGUAUAUUUUUAAUAUGUAUGUAUUUGUGAAGUAUUAUCAAUAGUUUUUUAUUAUUAUUAGUUUCAAAAUGUAUAUAUUGUGUUUAUAUUUUAAUACUAUGCUAUAUAUGUUUUUGUAUUAUGUAUAUAUAUUUUUAAAUAUUAUAUAUUGAGUAUUUCUAACGUUAUUACUAUAUAUAUACGUACGUAUUUUUAUCGCAUAAAUAUUUUUAUUUAUCACUUCUAAUGUAUAUAUAUAUCGCAUAUGUUUUAUAUCGUAUAUUUCCCUUAUUUAUUUUUUAUUAGUUAUAUGUUUUUUUAUUAUUUCAUGUACAUAUCUUUAUAUCAUCUUUAUUAUUAUUAAUCUUAAUACAUGUUUUAUAUAUGUAUAUAUUAUGUAUAUUUUAAUAUUUUAUUAUAUGUACGUAUUCAUAUUAUAGUGUUUUUAGUUACAUAUUUUUGUACUAUAUUAUUUUAUUAGUUUUGCUAUUAUUAGUAUUAGUUUUAGUUUCAAUGAAUAUUCUAAUAUGUAUAUAUAGACUUUAGUAUCAUAGUUGUAUACUUUUAUACGGUCUUAUGUACAUAUAUUUACACGCAUAUUUUCUUUUAUAUACAUUUUUAAUAUCUUAUAUGUAUAUGCGUUUUUACUAUAUUAGUUAGUCUUUUUCCCUAUUUUAUAUAUAUAUUUCAAAUACUAUGUAUACUAUAUUUAUGGCUCUAUUACUAUAUAUAUUUUAUGUACACACUUUUAAUAUUAUUAUGUAUAUAUAUUCGUUGUUUUUAUUUCAUGUUUAAUAUUAUCAUUAUUUACGUUUAAUAUCGCAUGCAUGAUUAUUGUUUUUAAUAUUAUUAUCAUAUUUAUUAUUUGUUUUAAUAUAUACCUGGCACUUUUAUUUAUUUCUAUUUCAUAUCAAUUUGCUUUGCAUUAUUUCGAAAAUCUUAUUCCUAUUUUCUGAUUAAUUUCAAUGCAUAAGGCAACAUAUCGGUUUAACACCAAGUCGUCAAUUUCAUCGCUAUGUUGGGUGAAUAUCAAUCGACUCGUGUUAAAACGGUAUAUCUUCUCAAAAAAAAUCAAAAAGAUUAAAAAUUCUUGUCUUUUUAAACGGAUCACGAUUAAAUCUUAUAUUGAACUCGUAUUUUUGAAAAUCAAGGCAACACGUGUUUAUAAGAUACCAAUUUUGGGCGUCGCGAGGGUGCUAAUACCUUUCUCGCGCGUAACAGACUCCCGAACCCUAAUUUUUCUCUGGAUUUUAACGUAGACCUAAACUCAGCCUUUUAUUUGUUUUAAUAACAGAUCUAAUAGGUGUCCGAUCACACCUAGAAAAAAGGAUCGGUGGAGACUCCCUGUUUAUUUCAAAAAUUAAACGUCAAAUUUCAAACUUUUUUCAAUAAAUCGCCACAAUUAGCGACCAAGCUAAGCAAAUUUUUACGUUGCUACAGGUAUGACGCAAAUGCCCAAUGCGAAUACCAUGCGGGAGCCACAGGACACUCGAGAGAAAACUGCACGACUUUCAAGAAAUUGGUUGAAAGACUCAUCAACAUAGGCAUCGUGAAAUUUGAUGAUACAUCCAGUGCAGAGAAUCUAUUACCUAACCAUGGGGAUAAGGGAAUAAAUGCAAUAAUUGAGAGUUCGGGGAAAGAAAUUAAGAUGAAUAUUGCAGAAGUGAAUACCCCUUUAAAAAAGGUAUGGAAGGAAAUGGUGGAAAGAGGGUUGAUAACACAGAAUUCAAGGGUCAGACCCCGAGAAGCAAAGAAUUAUUGCUAAUUCCAUGAUUAAGAGGAUCACGAUAUUCAGAAAUACAGUGAAUUUAGGGUUUUGUUACAAGGAUUGAUGGAUAAUAAGGAGUUGGAAUUCUUCGAAUAUGUCGGGAGCCCAGAAAAAACAGAUGUGUGUGCCACCGAAGAAGGUUCGAUGAAGGAUGUUUACAAAGUCAACCACCCAGUGGUUAUCAUAUCACGUCCGAGAAUGAAUAAAGUCGGGGCCCAAGUUGCGCCAAAGGUCGUAAUCCAAAAGCCCGUUGCUUUCCCUUACAAGGAUAGCAAAAGGGUACCGUGGAACUAUAGCUGCAAUGUGACAUUCCCGGGAGAGGAGACCCCGAUUAAUGCAUCAGAGGAAGUUCAAGAUGAAGGUUUUUAUACGCGUAGCGGAAGGCGUUAUACCCCAAAUACAAAAGUCGAGUAGGUUAAAGAAAAAUCAUUAGCAAUUGAGCAAAAGAAAGAGAAGCCGGUAGGGCCUGAACCAACUGUUAAUAAAUCAGUGACUGAAAAAGAAGCCAAGGAAUUCUUAAAAUUUCUAAAGCACAGCGAAUAUAGUGUUGUAGAAUAGUUGCACAAAUAGCCAGCUCGUAUAUCGGUACUGCCCUUACUCUUAAGUUCAGAAACCCAUCGCAGUGCAUUGAUGAAGGUGCUGAAUGAGACUUAUGUUGCUAACGAUAUCUCUGUAAACAAACUGGACCGCUUAGUCAACAAUACAAGUGCCGACAACUUCAUAUUCUUCAAUGAUGAUGAAGUACCGCCAGGAGGCAGAGGAUUGACUAAAGCUCUGCACAUCACGACUCGCUGUAAAGGGUACACAUUGCCGGGGGUAUUGAUUAACAAUGGGUCUGCACUACAUGUCCUACCCCUAUCUACGCUGAGUAGGCUGCCAGUGGAUAGUUCCCAUAUGAAGACAUGCCAAAAUGUAGUGAGAGCAUUUGAUGGCACGGAAAGGAAAGUAAUGGGGAGAAUUGAAAUACCCCUCUUAAUUGGACCGAGCACGUACGAGGUAGAUUUCCUGGUAAUGGACAUUAAGCCUUCGUAUAAUUACCUAUUGGGGAGGCCAUGGAUACACUCAGCAGGGGAAGUCCCUUCAUCACUGCACUAAAAGUUGAAAUUAAUGACCGAAGGUCGGUUAGUAACGAUUAAUGCUGAAGAGGACAUCAUCGCGGCAAUAACCAGUGACGCCCCAUAUCUGGAGGAAAAUGAUGAAGCAAUCGAGUACUCUUUUCGAUCUUUGGAGUUUGUGAACGCGACGUUCAUUACCAAAGGAAAUAAGAUUCCAAUGCCCAGGUUAUCUGAGACUACAAGAAUGGGACUACGGCUAACUGUUGGAAAAGGGGCUCUACCCGGAAAAGGACUCGGGAGAUACCUCUAGGAAAGGAUUAAUGUACCAAUGAUGAAGGACAAACAAAACCAUUUUGGGUUAGGGUUUAAGCCGGACAUGAAACAAAGAAAGAAGGAACUUGAGAAGAAGCAAGAAAGAAGGAGAACGCGAUUGAGCGGGGGAGAAAUCGAAUUGGAACCAAUGAUCUUCCCCCAGAUAUCAAAGACUUUUGUGUUUGGAGGGUUCAUUCACUCCGAGCGGAAGACGUCGUGAAAGGAAAUCGUGGAAGGAAUGAUGGAGAGUUUGGACAUCAAUGCCACAUAUGAAGAAGGAACUGGGGUGAAGAAUUUGUCGGGCAUUCGCCCCUAUGAGCCGGGAAGUGUUCUGAAUAAUUGGAUUACGGAAGAGAUUCCUGUAGUAUUUAGAACUAACUCAGAGUAAUGUCCAAAACACACUUAUUGCUCUAGGCCUAGGAGUAAUAAGUGUCCUUUUGUGAAAUAGGCUUAUGUUCAAAAUCGUUAUUUCAAUGAAAUGCAUCCUUUUGACUUAUUCCGUACAAAUAUUCUUUUAUUCUUUCAUUCAUGAUCAUACCAUACAUAUCAUUAUUCUUAGAUUCUCUUGUUCUUUGUAUAUUUCUUCGUACCUACAACAGGUCUCUAGAUAUUAACGAUGUGAGUGACAUUGCUUCUAACUCAGAGUCUCCUUUUGAGCGAGAUAUGUGUCUAGAGGGAUCUCAGAACUUUGAGGAUGACAGAGACUGUAACUUAUCCCUUGAUUUGUUAGGGAUGGUAGAACACGAGGAGAAACAUAUUCUACCCCACAAAGAGACAGUAGAAGUCGUGAACUUGGGGGGUGAACUAGAAAAAGAAAGAAGUAAAGAUCGGAGCUUGCAUUACCACAGAGACAAAGCGAGACCUUAUUGAGUUACUCCAAGAGUUCAAGGAUGCCUUUGCAUGGUCAUAUCAAGAUAUGCCUGGGCUAAGUACAGGCUCCCCAUCAAAGAAGAAUGCAAGCCAGUUCAGCAAAAGCUUCGAAGGAUGCGGCCCGAUGUUUUGUUGAAAAUAAAAGAGGAGGUCAAGAAGCAAUUUGAUGUUGGUUUCUUACAAGUAGUUAAGUACUCGGAAUGGGUAGCCAACAUCGUCCCCGUCCCUAAAAAAGAUGGAAAAGUGCGGAUGUGUGUAGACUACCGAGACUUAAACAAAGCCAGCCCGAAGGAUAAUUUCCCAUUGCCUCAUAUUGACACAUUGGUGGAUAACACGGUAGGUUACUCACUCUUCUCUUUCAUGGAUGGUUUCUCAAGGUACAAUCAGAUUAAGAUGCAUCGGUUUGAAAAACGCGGGAGCAACAUAUCAGAGAGCCAUGGUAACCCUAUUCCAUGAUACCAUGCAUAAAGAAAUUGAAGUCUAUGUCGACGAUAUGAUCGCCAAAUCUCGGACUGAAGAAGAGCAUGUGCAAGUCUUGAGGAAAUUAUUUUUGAGGUUGAAAAAAUUCCUGUUGAAACUUAAUCCAGCAAAAUGUACCUUCGGGGCUAGGUCAGAAAAACUGUUAGGAUUCGUGGUCAGUGAAAAAGGGAUUGAGAUUGACCAAGAUAAAGUCAAAGCUAUACAAGGGUUACCUCUACCGUGCACUCAAAAGGAAGUUUGGGGAUUCCUAGGAAGAUUAAAUUACAUCGCUCGAUUUAUUUCACAACUAACUGAGAAAUGUGACCCCAUAUUCCGUCUCCUUAAGAAACACAACCCUGGUGUUUGGGACGAGGAAUGCCAGAAGACUUUCGACAAAGUUAAGCAAUAUUUGUCUAAUACCCCAGUGUUGACCCCACCUAGUCUAAAUAAGCCACUGAUACUGUAUUUGACGGUAUUUGAAAAUUCUAUGGGGUGCGUGCUUGGCCAACACGAUGAAUCAGGAAGGAAAGAAAAAGUGAUAUAUUACCUCAGUAAAAAGUUCACUGAGUGUGAGACGAGAUACUCGUUUAUUGAAAAGUUAUGUUGUGCCUUAAUCUGGACAACCCGAAGACUGAGACAAUACAUGUUGUACCACACAACUUGGCUGAUCUCUAAAAUGGAUCCUCUAAAGUACUUGAUGGAGUCGACUGCCUUGAACGGGAAAAUGGUCCGAUGGAAAAUUCUACUUUCUGAGUUUGAUAUAGUCUAUGUGAACCAGAAGGCCGUAAAAGGGAGUGCGAUAGCAGAUUUCCUAGCCAACAGAGCCCUAGAGGACUACGAGCCUCUGAACUUUGACUUCUCAAAUAAGGAUCUAAUGUAUAUAGCAACCACUGAAGAAGACCCUCAAGAAGGUCAUCCUUGGAAGCUAAACUUUGAUGGAGCAUCAAAUGCUGUGGGUAACGGAAUCGGGGCAGUCCUGGUAUCCUCAAACGGAGAUCAUUAUCCCUUCACUAGUAAAUUGGAUUUUGACUGCACGAACAACAUGGCAGAGUACGAAGCAUGCAUCAUGGGAAUUCGCGCGGCCAUAGAGCGUAAAAUUAAGGUGUUAGAAGUAUACGGAGAUUUUGCCCUAGUGAUUUAUCAACUCAAAGGUGAAUGGGAGACAAGAGACCCUAAAUUGAUCAAUUACCGAAGGCUGAUCCUUGAGUUAAUUAAAGAGCUUGAUGAUGUUGUCUUCUACUACCUCUCGCGAGAAGAAAAUCAGAUGGCUGACGCCCUAACAACUUUAGCCUCUAUGAUCAAGGUGAAUAAGCAAGAGGAUGUGAAACCAAUCCAAAUGAGCAUUUAUGAAGCUCCGACUCAUUGUUACAACCUCAAAGAAAAAGAAGAAAAUGAUUAUCACCCUUGGUACCACGAUAUCCUGCGAUAUGCGAAGAAUCGUGAGUACCUCGACCAAGCUACUAAGAAUGACAAAAGGACGUUGAGAAGACUGGCCAGUGAUUAUGUCUUAGACGGGGAGAUCCUAUACAAAAGAAGGAAGGAUUAGGUACUGUUGAGAUAUGUAGAUACUAUUGAGGCUAAGAAAAUCUUAGAAGAAGUCCAUGAGGGCGUAUGUGGGACACACGCUAAUGGUUUUACAAUGGCCAGGCAAAUUAUGAGGUUCGGUUAUUAUUGGUCCACCAUGAAAGGAGACUGUAUUAACUACGCCAAAAGAUGUCAUAAGUGCCAAAUCUAUGGAGACAAGAUUAAUGUACCUCCUUCACCUCUGCAUGUCAUGACUUCACCAUGGCCUUUCUCGAUGUGGGGCAUGGAUGUGAUUGGGCCAAUUUCUCCAAAAGCUUCAAAUGGGCAUCGAUUCAUCUUUGUGGUCAUUGAUUAUUUCACCAAGUGGGUGGAAGCCGCUUCAUAUGCCAAUGUUACAAAAUCAGCAGUUAGCAAGUUCCUAAAAAAGGAAAUCAUUUGUCAAUAUGAAAUGCCGGAAAGGAUCAUAUCUGACAACGCAUUGAAUUUAAACAACAGCACGAUAGCGGAUGUCUGCAGGCAGUUCAAGAUUAGACACCACAAAACGGUGCAGUCAAAGCAGCCAAUAAGAACAUCAAGAAGAUUGUGGGAAAGAUGACAGAAACUUAUAAAGAUUGGCAUGAGAAGCUACCAUUCGCCUUCUAUGCUUAUCGAACGUCUGUCAGGACUUCUACCGGGGUAACGCCUUUCUCAUUGGUCUAUGGAAUGGAAGCAGUUUUACCUAUCGAGGUCGAGAUUCCUUCCCUCAGAGUUUUGUCAGAAGUAAAGUUGGAUGAAGCAGAAUGGAUCCAGUCCCGAUACGAUCAGCUAAAUUUGAUUGAAGAAAAGAGGCUAAAGGCUAUCCGCCAUGGUCAAAUGUACCAAAAACAAAUGAUGCGAGCUUACAACAAAAAGGUUCAUCCUAGAGAAUUCCACGGGGGAGACCUAGUAUUGAAAAAGAUCCUACCCAUACAAAAGGACUUCAGAGGAAAAUGGAUGCCGAAUUAAGAAGGAUCUUAUGUGGUAAGAAGGCAUUUUUCGGUGGAGCAUUGAUAUUGGCUGAAAUGGAUGGUAAGACUUUACCUAAUCCUGUAAAUUCAGAUUCGGUUAAGAAAUACUUCACUUAAAAAAAAGGGGGGGAGAGGCCAGGGUGAAAACUCGCAAAGAGCACCUUGAGACCAAAGGGAUUUUGAAUUGAAAACCCAUAAAAAGACGAUUCAAAUUUUGAUCAAAGGUGGGGCAUGCGGUAGUAUUGCGAUACCUAAAUUAACAAAGAGGUGAGAUAUUACAUCUUGGGGCACUUACAAGAGUACUCUAGAUCCCUUAAACACAUAUUGGGCAAAAAGGAAACCUCAAGAAGUUCAUACAAAGAAGCUCACGCUGCGAUAACUGGGGCACUUAUUUUCUUUUUAUUCAGUUUGUAUUCCAGAAUGUUUGUUGGCUAUGAUUAAUCUAUUCCCUUUAAAUUUUGUUUCUGACAAAUUUCAAUUUUGUCAUUGUUAUGAUCUUUUUCAAGCAUUUUGCAUUGAAAUGAUGAUUAAUGGACUAAAGCCAUUUUCGUAAAAAGAGUUUUGCAUAUUACUCUGAAAGUUUCUAAAUAGUACAGGAACCUGAAAUAGGGCUAUUAUUUAGAACUAACCAAACUUAAAGAUAAGAAACAUUUGAGAAGAAAGAGUUUAAAUUAGAACUACCUCUUCGGAUUUUCUGUUCAAAGAUCUAAGCUGAACAAGAAGACAGGGUACCGUUUCAGUGAAAGAACCUUGAUGAACAAAGAAAAGGGAUUCAUGCUCAAAACAUGCUACACUCAUGCAUUUGUAGAUCAUUCAUAGCGCAUCUAAUUAGGAACAUUUGAUUCAUUUCGAUCAUAGCAUCCUAAUUCUUUGGCAUAAGCAUAAACACAUGAAACUGAUUCUACAGGUCAUGUCCCUAGAAUCGGUGAAUUUACAACCUUAAACCCCUAAGCAAUAGGGAAACAGAUCGAAGAUGAUGAGCUUUAACCCCCUAAGCAGUAGGGUAACAAGCCAAAUUUACAGACCUUAAAUCCCUAAGCAGUAGGGUAACAGGUUGAAUGUAUAGAUCUUAACCCCCUAAGUAGUAGGGAAACAGAUCGAAGAUGAUGGGCUUUAACCUCCUAAACAGUAGGGUAACAAGCUGAAUUUACAGAUCUUAAACCCCUAAGUAGUAGGGAAAUAGAUCGAGGAUGAUCGGCCUUAACCCCCUAAGCAGUAGGGUAAUAGGCUGAAAAUUAUAGAUCUUGUCUUCCUGAAGUUGCAGUGGAAUAGAUCGAAUCUAGCGAAUCUUGUCUUCCUGAAGUUGCAGUGAAGUAGACUAAAUUUACAGAUCUUAACCCCCUAAGCAGUAGGGAAACAGAUCAGAGGUCAUAGACUUUAAACCCCUAAGCAGUAGGGUAACAGGCUAAAAAUCAAAUGUCUUCUCCCUAAAAUGGCGUUGGAGCGGCUAAAAGCCACAGCAGAUCUCCUUGAAGUUUCAGUGGAGUUGAUUGAAGCCACAGCAGAACUCCUUGAAGUUUCAACGAAAAAGAUUGAAGUCACAAAUCUUAUCUCCCUAAAAUUGCAGUGGAGCGGAGUAAAAUGACGAGCCGCAGUAGACUGGAAUGAAGCUACCUGAAGAAUAAGAGCACCAAAGAAGUUAGACUCGAUGACUAGGCAAAUUGGUCUUUCUUGAAAGUCUUUGCUCUAUUCUCGUUACACGACAAUGAGCAAAGAGGGGCAGCUGUACAAGCCUAAUUUGCGGGCCCAAAUAACCCCUAGACCCAAACCCAAUAGACCAUUUUCUAGCCCAAAACCUAUCUUCUAACCCACAAAGCCCAAACUGUUUUUACCCAAAACCCAAUUACAAAGGAAACCCUAGCCCAAUACAUUAAAG